AUACAGACACCCCAAUACACAUACAACAUGGAACUCCGUACACAUCAAAAUGCCUAAACAUGGAUGAUUCGUGGAUCUGACAGUCAAUUGUAGCCCAUUUGUUUAUUCUAUGAGAUCGCCCACCAAAGCCUUCUUGAAAUGUUCAAGCAUCUACGCCCAACAGGACAUUAACCUCCUUAUACAAUUUCAUAUUUGCUUGAUGACUAAUAACUCCCUGCAGUGGAAUCAGUUGAAGUUAGCUACUCUGAAGUAAAAUUGGCCCCUAAACAGAAACUGGUACUACUUGUGGAAAGCUUGCAGGGUAAUAGGUGAGUUGCUCAUGAAAGAAUACCUUGGCUUCUGAAGUAGGACUCAAAAGCUGAUGAUUCUCCUGCUCAUUGUUGUAUCGUUCAAAUAUUGAUCUCAUGCUGAUAAGAGUAAUAGCGUGGCUGCUGAAGCAGCUCCAUUUCCAGAGGCAGAGCAGCUCCAACACCAGCGGCAGUAGAGGAGGCACCAGCAGCUCCAUUUCCAGAGGCCGAGCAGCUCCAACACCAGCGGCAGUAGAGGAGGCACCAGCAGCCAGUGGCUGCUGAAGAAGAACCUAAGGAGGCCGCAGCAGCUGUACAGGAGGCACCAGUAGCAGUUUCCGGCGGAGGUUGAAGACGAGAGCUAGGAUUUUGUUGAGCCAAGGAGGAGUAACCAGCAGGGUUUGCAGUCAUGGGUGGUUCUCGGCAGCAGUAGGCGUGGGGCUCAGUGUUUUAGGUGUCAGUGCUUUAGGUGGUCUUCGGCAGGUGUGGGUGUUCUCUGUGUUUCAGUGUUAGGUGUGGGGCUCAAGAGUUUGAAUUGUAGUUUUUUUGGGUUUGUUUUGUUGUUUUAUUUGUAUUUUAAAAUAUAAUUUGUGAGGUUAAGGGGUCGGUUGUAAAGACGUGAGUAGCAGUAGUAGGAGAGUGAAUUUUUACUCUUCGAAUCUCUCUCAAUGCGUUUUUUUUCUUGUACCUUUUAAAUUUCAUGUUUUAAUGGAAUUUUUUCUUUGCCGAUCAAAAAAAAAAAAA